CACAAGCACACACAUCAUACCGACAAAACCGCUGGAACGGAGCGGGAUUCACCAGAAAAUGGCACGGGACGAACACGUCUGACAUGAUCACCGCACACUUCUCUUCUGCGAAACGCACUGAAAGAGGGCAGCCUUCAUUGGUGCAUUCCCAGGACCCGUGGCGACACACACUUCAGUAGCAGAGGAAAUAUUUUCCUGAGAGAUGGUGGAUCCUGGAGGGAAAUGUCGUCCCAUGUGUGUGCAGGAACACUGAGAUACCUCCACACAGCGAUUCCCAUCCAAAACCUUUCCAGCUGAAACACAUGCACAUGUCAUGUCACUGCUGGCAGCACUACAACAGAGGCAAGAGUUAUAUUUAGUGAUUAAACAAACUUACAGCACUGGCUCUCCUCCACCCAGCCAUGCAGAAGUAUCUCAUGAGCACGGCAUGUGCGAGCAUACUCCAGCAGAAAAGGACAGGAGCAGUCUUCUGCAUUUUUCUGGUCACAGUGACAGGCCUCCGCCUGACACAGUGACAGGAACGCAUCGGGAGAAAUCAGGAUUGGGUGGGAUCUGAGACACGUCGACAAGCCUGUCGCUACUCUUCCUGUUGCUGACUGCUGGUGACUCAAAUCAUUUCCUAAAUUCCAGUCGUAUUGAACUCUCCUUUGUUCAGCUCCAAACUCCAAACAAAAUAAAGCAAUGUGAAGGAUUGAUGGUUACAGUCCCCAGCCAGAAGGUAGCUGCAGUCUCCAGGAAACUCGUAUAUAACCCCAUCAAAGGUGUGAAUAUGAUGUCGUCCGAAAAGACUGCAUCGCCCAGUGAUGCCUGCCACACAAGCUGAACACAACAAAAACCAAAUGAGUGAAAAAUAAAAAUGUGAAAGAUUUAAUACAUGGUUUUAUAGAAAGUGACUGUUGGGAGAAAUGUGAAACUGUGGGAUAUGACACCCACCUGUAAGCUGCAGGAAAACAAAAAUUUCUCGCAGAAUCCUCUUCAUGCGUACCUGAAAUAAACACAUAAAUUUUA